GACGAACGCUGGCGGCGUGCCUAACACAUGCAAGUCGAACGGAGUGGCGAACGGGUGAGUAACACGUGGGUGAUCCGCCUUGCACUUCGGGAUAAGCUUGGGAAACUGGGCUUAAUACCGGAUAGUGUAAGAUGAGCUCGCGGCCUAUCGGCUUGUUGGUGGGGUAAUGGCCGACCAAGGCGACGAAGGGUAGCCGGCCUGGGAGGGGGUACGGCGCCAUUGGGCCUGCGAGACGGACCAGUGGCCAACGGGGGGCAGCGGGGGGGAAUCUUGCCCAAUCGGGGGGAGCGUGUUGCAGCGACGCCGGGGGGGGAAUGAAGGCCUUCGGGUUGUGAACUCCUUUCGUCAGGGACGCGGUACCUGUAUAAGAAGCACCGGCUAACUACGUGCCAGCAGCCGCGGUAAUAC
rnacentral:rRNA from 1 species